rnacentral:sRNA from 1 species
AGUUUUCACCUAUACAACACUGGAGCUCACUGUUGGUGGUAUGGCAGCAAGAGGCCUUCUGUGAAUAAGAAGCAGCUAAGCCCCAGAAAAUAAACGCUGCUGGAACCAGUAAUGCAGAAGUCCCCUUGGCUGAUCCCGGAAUGUACCAGUUGGACAUUACAUUAAGAAGGGGUCAAAGUUUAGCUGCUCGAGAUCGAGGAGGGACAAGUGAUCCAUAUGUGAAGUUUAAAAUCGGAGGAAAAGAAGUUUUUAGAAGUAAGAUAAUACACAAGAACCUCAACCCUGUGUGGGAAGAAAAAGCUUGCAUUCUGGUUGAUCAUCUUAGGGAGCCAUUGUAUAUAAAGGUAUUUGACUAUGAUUUUGGACUACAGGAUGACU